CUCAUCUGUAUGGCCAGGAAGCUGGGCCAGCUCUCAGGGCCACUUCGGAGACCAGGGAAGGAAAGCUACCAGGAGACAAGCGCCUGCGCAGUUCUACCACUCAGUUGCCUCCGGACCUUGGUGCUCAUUUUGUCACAGCAUGGCUGCCUACUUUGGAAGGAUGGCUUCCUUGAUUGAUCCAUUCAUUCCUGGCUCCCUUCUUUUCCAAAAUCUAAUUCGAGCCUUUCCUAAGGGUGAAGCCCUCAGACUUUCCCUGCUGCCCUGAGACGGACCACGCCUAUCAGCCGGUUGGGCAUCCCGCGUCCCUGCCCACCUCUGCACUCUUGGUUUCUCCCAUGGAAAACCCAGCAAUUGCACACAGGCCAAGGGCACAAGAGGGAACCCACUUCUGUAUCAGCGCUGCUUUGGCAAGGCCAGGUGGCAGCUCCAGGCUUCCCUGGGCCUCCAUCAGAAGCAGGAAGCUCAGCCCUCCAGAGAGGUGCCAAGAUGGUGCCUCCAGUGCUCAUGGGGACUCCCUGCUGGAGUCCGGGCUGGUAUGGGAGCUGCUGGGCACUCAGCCUCACAGAGGCCCAAAGGAGAGCUGCGGGGGCCUCCCAGGCAGCUGGAUGAGCAUGUCGUGAAACUGCCAUCGACCUUCCACCGCGGAGCCCCAUUAGGGUUAGGGGGGAGUGAGCAGCACAGAACAGGGUGGAGGGUGGCCCCAGGGGUGACCACAGGGAUGGCUCUUUUGGCUCUGCCCCCCACCCCCACCUUGAUCUCUUACUCCCUAAAGGGAACAUGGAGCCUUAAAACCAAAUGCCCUGGGAUGAACCCCAGUCCCUCCAGGCAUCAGUGGCUCGGCCCGGAGUCACCCAAGUCAUGGCCAGUCAUGGCCGACAGAUGCUCACCGCCUCGCUCCUAGACAAAGAGGAGCGCUAGCCUUCCUCCGCCCACCGCGGAGAGCUCCGGGGAGCAAAGAGACUCGAUAUAAAAGUGCCUUUUAACUGGAAGAUUUUUAUACAUAUUUGAAGGGACAUCAAUGAUUUAACAUGGCUGAGCAGGGCUUCCUUACCUUUCCCUGCUGAUUUAAGGCAGCUUCCCCGCCCCCCACUCCCCAUCUUUGUUAGAGGAAAGAUUCAUACCUGCUGGCUCAGGGGCUGAGCUGAAGUAGAACAGGAGGGGAGAAGGUUAAGGGAGGGCAAGCGGCCUCUUUGGCUGAGUGAGAGAGACUGUGAGAAACUCCAGGGCCAAGGAGAACCAGGGAGUGUUGAAAGCAAAGAGGGUGAGUUCAUUAGGACUGGCCUGCAUUCCAAGUUCAUGGCUUUUGUUUGCUUGUUUGUGCUUCUUCAAAUGUGAUUUUUCUUUCCAUUUAUUUAUUUGUUUAGGAGACAGAGUCUUGCUAAGUUGCUGAGGCUGGUCUCAAACUUGUGAUCCUCCUGCCUCAGCCUCAUCCUCCUGAGCAGCUGGGAUUACAGGCACGGGCCAACCUGAUUCUAGGAUAAGACCUAAGACGUGAACCCUUGGAUUUGCUUGGGUUAAAAAUAUUAGCAACUGGGGUGCACACUUGUAAUCCCAGUGGCUCAGGAGGCUGAGGCAGGAGGAUCUCGAGUUCAAAGCCAGCCUCGGAAAAAGUGAGGCACUAAGCAACUCAGUGAGACCCUGUCUCUAAAUAAAAUACAAAAUAGGGCUGGGGAAGUGACUCCAUGGUCCAGUGCCCCUGAGUUCAGUCCCCAGGACCCCUCCCAAUAUAUGUACUUACUACGAUUGUUCAUAAAACUGUUCAAUAAAUACUUAAAUUGAU
ensembl:lincRNA